AUGAAGUCUAGCACCACCUUCGCAGUAGAGAUCCAGCAAGAUGCCGUGGACGCCGCCGACAAGCCGGAUGGCGGCGUGCCCCGGCCGUCUCGGGUCCGCCAUCUCGCUCUUCUCACCGCCACCUUCUGCGCACUGGUCUUCUACGCGCACUACGGCGUACCAGGCAGCAUGGCGUCCGCCCUGUUUAAGCCACCCGUCACCGUUUCAUCCCUUCCCUCGCUAGCCAGCAUCACCAUCGACCAAAACUCCAGACGGGCGGAGCAGCCGGUGAUGCUGAGUGAGGGACAUGCACCGCUCACUCCUCAGGCGACAGUGCUCCAGGCCACUCGGAGCACGGCGGUGCCGGCGCCGACGCGGACGCCGUCCGACCAUUGCGAUGGGCGGUACAUCUACAUGUACGACAUGCCGCCGCGCUUCAACGUCGACCUCCUCCGAGACUGCGGCAAGGGCAGGCUCCACCCGUGGUUGGACAUGUGCCCGUACGUGGCCAACGACGGCAUGGGCCAGCCGCUGGCGGACGACGGGGGCGUCUUCCCCGGCCGUGGCUGCUACUCCACCGACCAGUUCAUGCUCGACCUCAUCUUCCACGCGCGGAUGAAGCGCUACGAGUGCCUGACCAAGGAUCCCUCCCUCGCCGCCGCCGUCUUCGUCCCCUUCUACGCCGGCCUCGAAUCCGGGAGGUACCUCUAUAAUUACAGCAUCUCGACGCGAGACGCGCUCCAGCUCGACGCCAUCGACUGGCUGGUGCGUCGCCCCGAGUGGCGGGCCAUGGGGGGCCGUGACCACUUCUUGGUGGCUGGCCGGACCACGUGGGACUUCCGGCGGGAGGCCGACGUCGACGAGCUGUGGGGCACCAAGCUGCUCACGUACCCGGCCGUCGAGAACAUGACGGCCUUCGUCCUGGAGACAUCCCCGUUGACUCGGAGCAACUUCGCGGUACCCUACCCGACGUACUUCCAUCCUGAGGCCGCCGCCGAUGUGCUCGCCUGGCAAGAGAGACUUCGGAAGGUGAGGCGGAGGUGGCUCUUCUCCUUCGCCGGCGCCCCACGCCCCGGCAGCAAGAAAACCGUCCGCGCGCAGAUCAUCAGGCAGUGCCGCGCGUCCAGCCUGUGCAACCUCUUCCACUGCGGCGGCGUCAUCGGCGGCGGUGCGGCCGACUGCAACUCGCCAGCAGGCGUCAUGCGCGUCUUCGAGACGUCGGAUUUCUGCCUGGAGCCGCGCGGGGACACGGCGACGCGGCGGUCAACGUUCGACGCCAUCCUUGCCGGCUGCAUCCCGGUCUUCUUCCACCCCGGGUCGGCGUACACUCAGUACACGCUGCACUUUCCGAGGGACCACGGGAGGUACUCGGUGCUCAUCCCGCACGCCGGCGUUGCCGCGGGGAACGUGAGCAUCGAGGAGACCCUGAGGAAGAUCCCGCCGGAGGAGGUGAGGAGGAUGCGGGAGGAGGUGGUCCGGCUCAUCCCGAGGGUGGUGUACGCGGACCCCAGGUCCCGGCGCGUGGGCUUCAGGGACGCGUUCGAUGUCGCGCUGGAGGCCGUCAUCGGUCGGGUGGCGAAGCGGCGGCGGGGCGAGGCCGCCGGCCGGUAG
rnacentral:rRNA from 1 species